rnacentral:rRNA from 1 species
UACGAAGGGUGCAAGCGUUACUCGGAAUUACUGGGCGUAAAGCGUGCGUAGGCGGUUUGUUAAGUCUGUCGUGAAAGCCCCGGGCUCAACCUGGGAAUGGCGAUGGAUACUGGCGAGCUAGAGUACGGUAGAGGAGAGUGGAAUUCCCGGUGUAGCAGUGAAAUGCGUAGAGAUCUGGAGGAAUAUCAGUUGCGAAGGCGGCUCUCUGGACCAGUACUGACGCUGAGGCACGAAAGCGUGGGGAGCAAACAGG